AUUGAACGCUGGCGGCAUGCCUUACACAUGCAAGUCGAACGGUAACAGGUCUUCGGAUGCUGACGAGUGGCGAACGGGUGAGUAAUACAUCGGAACGUGCCUAGUAGUGGGGGAUAACUACUCGAAAGAGUGGCUAAUACCGCAUGAGAUCUACGGAUGAAAGCAGGGGAUCGCAAGACCUUGUGCUACUAGAGCGGCCGAUGGCAGAUUAGGUAGGUGGUGGGAUAAAAGCUUACCAAGCCGACGAUCUGUAGAUGGUCUGAGAGGACGAUCAGCCACACUGGGACUGAGACACGGCCCAGACUCCUACGGGAGGCAGCAGUGGGGAAUUUUGGACAAUGGGCGCAAGCCUGAUCCAGCAAUGCCGCGUGCAGGAUGAAGGCCUUCGGGUUGUAAACUGCUUUUGUACGGAACGAAAAGCCCUGGGUUAAUACCCUGGGGUCAUGACGGUACCGUAAGAAUAAGCACCGGCUAACUACGUGCCAGCCGCCGCGGUAAGAC
rnacentral:rRNA from 1 species